rnacentral:rRNA from 1 species
GCACAAGACGUGCCUAACACAUGCAAAUCGAAUGAAAACAAUUUAAUUAAAUUGUUUUCAUGGUGAACGGGUGAGUAACACAUAAGAAUCAGCUUUUAGAUAAGGCAUAAAAGAGUAAUAUCUUGGUAAUCCCUUAUAUGCGCAGCAGUGCUUAAAAAGGGGACUCCCGUCUAAAAACGAGCUUAUGCCUGAUUAGCUAGUUGGCGAGUUAAAAGCUCACCAAGGCGAAGAUCAGUAGCUGGCCUGAGAGGGCGGCCAGCCACAUUGGGACUGAGACACGGCCCAAACUCCUACGGGAGGCAGCAGUGGGGAAUAUUGGACAAUGGGCGAAAGCCUGAUCCAGCAAUGCCGCGUGUGUGAAGAAGGCCUGCGGGUUGUAAAGCACUUUCAGUAGGGAAGAUUAUGACGGUACCUACAGAAGAAGCAACGGCUAACUCCGUGCCAGCAGCCGCGGUAAU